rnacentral:lncRNA from 1 species
CGCGUCUGCCGGCCCGGCCCGGGCUGCGCAGGAAGCGAAGGGUAGGCGAGCUGGGGCCCUGGGGUCCAGCGCCUCCCGCCGCCCCCGCUCGCGCGUCUAGCCGGCACCUUUCUUAGGACGCCCGGGAGGCGGUGGCGGAGGGCACAAGGCGGGGGGCUUCGGGUCCCCGACGACGUUAUGGCCGGGUGCGGACGGGCCCCGACUGGGAGACGCGCUCUCGAAAACCUAGUGCUGGUUCUGGCUCUGCUCUGAUUCAGGAGGGAAGGGCCUACCUCGGCUUCUUGACCGAACCACGGGGAACCUAGUGGAGUCCUGGGGGUCGUUCCUUGUGUCCGGUUCGGGACGAAGCGCGCUGCUGUAGUCCGCACGUGAUCGCCCGGGGCAAGAUGGCAUUAACGGAGAAACGGACCCAGAGGCGUCGGGAAUCCCAGAUGGGCGCGUGCCACCGCUUGAUGCCUGGUCCACGUCGGGGGUCUGGCACGUCGUUUUUAGGUUCUAGAAAGGCACCCAGGUGUCCCCUCUCUACCGAGUCUGACUCGUGCCUCUAUGCGCACCCGAUGUCUCCAGGCUUCCUCAGAAGGCGCCCUGUAAACCUGAGUUUUCUUAACGAAGAGGCACAGAACAGUUGCCGAAUGUGGGCGAGAGCUCCGAGUUCUGGUGAAAUCAGCUCAAAGGUGGCUGCGUCGGCCUCGCAGUCCGAGGUGCCCACGGGCGUUUACGUUCUGGAGCUCGUCCCUUCCGCCUUCAAGUGCAGAUGCGCGUGAGGGACACACACACACACCUGAUCAGGAAAGUUGCCCUGGAAGGGAGUCCCAGUGCCAGUGAGAUCGCGAGUGCAGUGCUAAACUCCUGGGCCCUGGUAAGAGAGUUCGGUCAAGACGGUGAUGGCCCCUACCUUUCAGGGAAAAGGAAGCGCCCCCACCACAAGGAAGUUCUAGGAUACCCGCAGUGUGCUAGACUCGCGGGCUCAGUCCACCUUUCACUGAUUUCAGUCGCCCUGGGAAAUAUUAUAUCACUUUGCAGACAAACUUGCUCAAAGUCACGCUGCAGGCUGUAUUUGAAUCCAGAUUCUUUUUUUUUUUUAAGCACCACUUAAAAGAAAAUAUGACAACCAGUGAGACAGAGAUGUAAAAAGAUUUAAGUAUCCAAUCAUUUCUAUAGAAUUUGACUUUUCAGACAGAAAACCUUCCAUAAUUGUGUAUCUUUACACAAUUAGAACCACAGGUUUUCAUUUGCUACUUUCAUUAACAUUUUUCUUUUGUUAACAUAAUUCAUUUUUAGGGAGUGCAGGUACCCCUAUCCAUCCACUUAAUAUCCUGGUAUAGUAUAUUUUGUUACUUUGAGAUUGUUUGCAAAUAUAUCCUUGAAUUCUGCACAUGGGACACAUUCCCUGGAAUUGGGAAAGCUCCAGGUGGAAAGCUUUGAGUGGCCGAGAACAGCAGAGUGAUUUUGCCCUACAAUGACUUUGAACUUUCCCAAGAAGCUGCACCAUUUAUUCUAUCACCUCCAAGGAACAAAUGUAAGGAGUUUAAUACACAAUUCUAAGCAUUGAGUGCCGUCUUUUCUCCCCUACAUUAAUAAUGUCUAUGGAUAGUUCAAGGUUACCUUACUAAGCAUUUUUUUAGAUGACUAAACAUUCAAAAUUUCCUAUCUUCAUUCCCAUUUUUGUGAAUGACCUGUUCAUAUCCAUUUAUCUGUUGGGGCCUUAUACCUCUUCUAACUUUGAACAAGCAUUUUUUUUUUUUUUUACAGAUAUUACUCCUUUGCAAUCACUGAUGCAAAUAUUUCCAGUCUGUUGUUCUUUUUUGUUUUAUUCUAAUGUUCAAUUUGUCAUUUUUUUCAUUACUUCAAUACUAAUGAAGUAAGCUUUCUUCCACCCAUCUGAUAAUCUGUUUUCUACUAGUUUUAUACAAUUUCAUUUCAUAUUUAAUUCCUUGAUGACUAUAUGCUGAAUUUAUUUUGCUUUAUUUUGGAGUAAAAUGUGGAUUUAACUCAUCUGCUCUGUUACCAAUUGUUAUUGCUUAUGCAGUCACCAUUUAUCAAACAGUUCUUCCCUUAUGAUUUGUUUAGUUAAACCUACUUUUAUGGGUUGGUAUAUUUUUUAAUUUUCCAUUUCCUUCCAUAGGCCUUGGUUUAAGCAAAGACUACAUGUAUAUAAAUAUUGGCUGUUUGAAAUAGGUUUUUAAAAAUCUUUUUUAGUUGUCUUUAUUUUUAUGUGGUGCUGAGGAUUGAACCCAGUGCCUCAUGUUUGCAAAGCAAGCACUCUACCACUGAGCUACAGCCUCAGCCCUGAAAACGGUUUUUACAUCUGACAAGGCUCAGUUCCUACUAUGCCAGGUGGGGGUCUUCUUUUUUCAGAAUAUCACUUAAUAUUCACACAAGUUCAUGUGUCCAUGUACAUUUUAGAAUAAU